UUUCCCGCCACAGGAGGGCUGCCUCUCAGGCCAGGCCCUCACCCCACAGCCUCCCCAGAUCCGUGUGCGUUGGGGAGAGGGGUUGCAUCUCACCUCACAUACCGUAUAUUCAAAUAUAUAUCAAUGUAUGGGUAUGACAUAGUUGUGAGAGAUUGCUGCCAGGCUCUGGGAUUUGUAUGUGGUUGGUUUCAGAGGCAUUGUCAUCGUGACAGCUGGGGAAGGCUCUGGGGAAGCCAAGCUUGGAGGGGAGAGUUUGGCAGAGGAUCCCGGGUGCCCUGUGAGGGGACUGAAUGCCAUGCAGUGCCACUAGCCACUCCUGAGGGCAGGACAGAGCAGGAAAAGUGCAAGACCUUAGCCACUUGCUGCAAGAAAAUCCAGAAACACCCCUGUUUUCUUGUACCCUGACUGCCACACUGAGUAUCUUAAAAAGAAGACAAGGCAGAGCAAGUAGUCCAGCCUGACACAUCAUUGGCUUUGUGCUCAACUAAAUGAAGUCAGAAUUCAGACCUCUUAUAGCAGGUAAGAAAAAUAAAUGAUGCCUUCCAUGUUACUGUUGUCAAUCCACUGCUUUCUUCCUUUCACUGAUCCAUAAAUGGUAUGAACAGACCUGGAAGGAUGCAAAAAGUUGUUGUUGGUUGUUUUUUUUUUUCUAUUUUGUCUGAUAUUUUGAACUUUCAGAGCAUUGUGGAGGGGUUCUUUUGCUCCAGUCAGUUUUCAUCAGGAGUGGCUUAUCAGACAUAAAAAGCUGUAAAUGAUUGUUGGUGUUUCAAAGCAGAAAUUCUCCUUUGAAAAGAACAUGUCCCACAUGCUGGCAUGAAAUAUUUCCCUCAAGACAAUAUGUUACAGUCCUUAAGAAAUCAUCAUCAGUAUCAGUAAGGCAGCAGGGGGAAAAAAGCAAUAUGAAGACACACCUGGUGUGGUGGUCACACAGUUUUUUUGGGUAACCUUCUGUGUUCUGCCAGUGGUAUCACUGCUUUAUUUGCAAGGAGCCAUCCAUUUCACCCAAAGAAAGUGAUCUCAUUUUAAAGCAGAAGCAUCUGUUUAGAGCUGCAGUCCUCAGUGUUUCUCAAGAAACGGUUGAAACUGUCAGCAUUUUAGGAAAGCUAGAGGUAUUGCAGCCAUUUCCUAUCAGAUGCUGUCUUUCUAAGUAUGCAGAGUAAUAUGACAUUUGAACAGAUGAGGUUAAAUGCUAAAUCUGACUUGAUUAAUGCUGAUGGAAACACAAUGCUCAGUACUCUAUGCAAAAUUAUGGUUUGAAUGAAAAUUUCAUGUUAAAUAAGUCAUAAUGUAUCAAUUUAGAACUGUUAAAUGUGAUACUGUUUUAACAUAACACAUUUCAAAACUGAGUGUCAUUCUGAGAUAAGCAGAGAUGUUCCAGUUCUGUAAAUUUAUAAAUGUUGUUGUUACUGGUGUUCUUUCUCUGUACUUUUUGAAUCCAUUUCCAUCAGAAAAUUCUGUGUGGGAAAUAAAUUG
ensembl:lncRNA